rnacentral:rRNA from 1 species
GUAGGUGGCAAGCGUUGUCCGGAAUUAUUGGGCGUAAAGCGCGCGCAGGCGGUCCUUUAAGUCUGAUGUGAAAGCCCACGGCUCAACCGUGGAGGGUCAUUGGAAACUGGGGGACUUGAGUACAGAAGAGGAAAGCGGAAUUCCAAGUGUAGCGGUGAAAUGCGUAGAGAUUUGGAGGAACACCAGUGGCGAAGGCGGCUUUCUGGUCUGUAACUGACGCUGAGGCGCGAAAGCGUGGGGAGCAAACAGGGAUUAGAUACCCUGGUAGUCCACGCCGUAAACGAUGAGUGCUAAGUGUUAGGGGGGUUUCCCGCCCCCUUAGUGCUGCAGCUAACGCAUUAAGCACUCGCCUGGGGAUACGGCCGCAAGGCUG